rnacentral:rRNA from 1 species
GACGAACGCUGGCGGCGUGCUUUACACAUGCAAGUCGAACGGAAAGGCCCUGCUUUUGUGGGGUGCUCGAGUGGCGAACGGGUGAGUAACACGUGAGUAACCUGCCCUUGACUUUGGGAUAACUUCAGGAAACUGGGGCUAAUACCGGAUAGGAGCUCCUGCUGCAUGGUGGGGGUUGGAAAGUUUCGGCGGUUGGGGAUGGACUCGCGGCUUAUCAGCUUGUUGGUGGGGUAGUGGCUUACCAAGGCUUUGACGGGUAGCCGGCCUGAGAGGGUGACCGGCCACAUUGGGACUGAGAUACGGCCCAGACUCCUACGGGAGGCAGCAGUGGGGAAUAUUGCACAAUGGGCGGAAGCCUGAUGCAGCAACGCCGCGUGCGGGAUGACGGCCUUCGGGUUGUAAACCGCUUUCGCCUGUGACGAAGCGUGAGUGACGGUAAUGGGUAAUGAAGCACCGGCUAACUACGUG